UACGGGGGGUGCGAGCGUUGUCCGGAAUUACUGGGCGUAAAGGGCGCGUAGGCGGCGACUCAAGUUAGAUGUGAAAGUCCUGGGCUUAACCUGGGGACUGCAUUUGAUACUGGGUUGCUUGAAUUCGGGAGAGGAUAGCGGAAUUCCCAGUGUAGAGGUGAAAUUCGUAGAUAUUGGGAAGAACACCGGUGGCGAAGGCGGCUAUCUGGACCGACAUUGACGCUGAGGCGCGAAAGCGUGGGGAGCAAACAGG
rnacentral:rRNA from 1 species